rnacentral:rRNA from 1 species
AUGAAUAGCACAACCAUCCCAAUCAUGAAUUGGAACAUCCGUGGAUUGAACUCGCCGGCGAGGAGGGCCACCAUUUGCGAGGUUGCAGACGCACACAGCCUCGCCCUGUUGUGCUUGCAAGAGACAAAGAUCGACGCCUGGACGCCAGAGCUAGUCAGGGAGGUUGGAGGCCGCAGGCUUGACAACUGCGCUGUGCUGCCAGCGCUGGGCACUCGCGGCGGCGCCGCCAUUUUCUGGGACUCCACAAAGGUCACCAUAGCCACGCAAUUUGUAGGGCAAUUCUCCAUCACUGCAAGAGCGUUUCUCCCCCACGGUGGCAUCGCCUUCUGGAUCACCACUAUCUACGGUCCAACUGACGACAACAGGAAAGAUGAUUUCCUCGCAGAGCUGAGCGGAAGCAGGCCACCCCUAGGCGAACCGUGGCUGAUCAACGGUGACUUCAACAUCAUCUAG